rnacentral:RNase_P_RNA from 1 species
GAGAGUAGGCGUUGGCGGUUGCAGACCAGUUAGCUUAACUGAUUUGAGGAAAGUCCGGACUCCCGAAAGACCAGACUUGCUGGAUAACGUCCAGUGCGAGCGAUCGUGAGGAUAGUGCCACAGAAAAAUACCGCCAAGAUUGGGGACUGGGGACUAGGGGUUGGGGACUGGGGAAGAAACUUCCCAAUCCCUAAUCCCCCAUACCCAAUACCCAACUCUUGGUAAGGGUGCAAAGGUGCGGUAAGAGCGCACCAGCAGUAUCGAGAGGUACUGGCUCGGUAAACCCCGGUUGGGAGCAAGGCCGAAGAACUAUGGUUGGUCUUUUACCAGUUCCGCUAUCAGAGAGCCGCUAGAGGCGUUUGGUAACAAACGUCCCAGAUAGAUAAUCGCCCUCGUGUAAAGCAAUUUACACAGAGAACAGAACCCGGCUUACCACCAACUCUCUCCU